rnacentral:rRNA from 1 species
UACGGAGGGGGCUAGCGUUGUUCGGAAUUACUGGGCGUAAAGCGUACGUAGGCGGCUUUGUAAGUUAGAGGUGAAAGCCCGGGGCUCAACUCCGGAAUUGCCUUUAAGACUGCAUCGCUUGAAUCAUGGGGAGGUGAGUGGAAUUCCGAGUGUAGAGGUGAAAUUCGUAGAUAUUCGGAAGAACACCAGUGGCGAAGGCGACUCACUGGACAUGUAUUGACGCUGAGGUACGAAAGCGUGGGGAGCAAACAGG